GUGCCAGCCGCCGCGGUACUACGGAGGGGGUUAGCGUUGUUCGGAAUUACUGGGCGUAAAGCGCACGUAGGCGGAUCAGAAAGUUGGGGGUGAAAUCCCAGGGCUCAACCCUGGAACUGCCUCCAAACCUCCUGGUCUUGAGUUCGAGAGAGGUGAGUGGAAUUCCGAGUGUAGAGGUGAAAUUCGUAGAUAUUCGGAGGAACACUAGUGGCGAAGGCGGCUCACUGGCUCGAUACUGACGCUGAGGUGCGAAAGUGGGGGGAGCAAACAGGAUUAGAAACCCGUGUAGUCC
rnacentral:rRNA from 1 species